CGGACGGGUGAGUAAUGCUUGGGAAUCUGCUUAUGGAGGGGGAUAACUACGGGAAACUGUAGCUAAUACCGCGUAAUAUCGAAGAUUAAAGUGUGGGACCUUCGGGCCACAUGCCAUAGGAUGAGCCCAAGUGGGAUUAGGUAGUUGGUGAGGUAAAGGCUCACCAAGCCGACGAUCUCUAGCUGGUCUGAGAGGAUGACCAGCCACACUGGGACUGAGACACGGCCCAG
rnacentral:rRNA from 1 species